rnacentral:rRNA from 1 species
GAUCAGAAUGCCACGGUGAAUACGUUCCCGGGCCUUGUACACACCGCCCGUCACACCAUGGGAGUGGUUGCAAAAGAAGUAGGUAGCUUAACCUUCGGGAGGGCGCUUACCACUUUGUGAUUCAUGACUGGGGUGAAGUCGUAACAAGGUAACCGUAGGGGAACCUGCGGUUGGAUCACCUCCUUACCUUAAAGAAGC